rnacentral:rRNA from 1 species
AAAGCGCGCGUAGGUGGUUUGUUAAGUUGGAUGUGAAAUCCCCGGGCUCAACCUGGGAACUGCAUCCAAAACUGGCAAGCUAGAGUAUGGUAGAGGGUGGUGGAAUUUCCUGUGUAGCGGUGAAAUGCGUAGAUAUAGGAAGGAACACCAGUGGCGAAGGCGACCACCUGGACUGAUACUGACACUGAGGUGCGAAAGCGUGGGGAGCAAACAGGAUUAGAUACCCCAGU